AUCCGGCUGACGAGUCUCAAAUAGAAUGAAAGGCGCGUCCUGGAU
rfam:Schistosoma rodhaini strain Burundi genome assembly, scaffold: SROB_scaffold0001578